rnacentral:rRNA from 1 species
CCUGGCCUUGACAUACUAAGAACUUUCCAGAGAUGGAUUGGUGCCUUCGGGAACUUAGAUACAGGUGCUGCAUGGCUGUCGUCAGCUCGUGUCGUGAGAUGUUGGGUUAAGUCCCGCAACGAGCGCAACCCUUUUCCUUAUUGCCAGCGGGUUAAGCCGGGAACUUUAAGGAUACUGCCAGUGACAAACUGGAGGAAGGCGGGGACGACGUCAAGUCAUCAUGGCCCUUACGGCCAGGGCUACACACGUGCUACAAUGGUCGGUACAAAGGGUUGCUACCUCGCGAGAGGAUGCUAAUCUCAAAAAGCCGAUCGUAGUCCGGAUCGCAGUCUGCAACUCGACUGCGUGAAGUCGGAAUCGCUAGUAAUCGCGGAUCAGAAUGCCGCGGUGAAUACGUUCCCGGGCCUUGUACACACCGCCCGUCACACCAUGGGAGUUUGUUGCACCAGAAGUAGGUAGUCUAACCGCAAGGAGGACGCUUACCACGGUGUGGCCGAUGACUGGGGUGAAGUCGUAACAAGGUAAGCGUAGAUGA